CGGUAGAAGUUGAGAUAUAAAUUAUACAGUAUAAUGUCACAGAAUUAUAGAUCACAGUCAAAUGAAAGAACAAACUUUAUUUACCUGGAUGAGAUUUCUACACGUCCCCCGGUUCACUCAUCGGAAUCCAACUUAACAAAAAGAAGAAGGAAACCAACACACACAUUACCGUUGCCAGAUCUGACCCUUCUAAUCGGCCAACCACCACAAAAAAAUCUCCUUCCCUUCACUCUGGAUCCAUUAUUCUCUCUCAUCAGGGGGCGGUAAUUGCCUGUCGGCAAUAUUAUGUAGAAGCCGCUGCAGAAUGUAAACAACGCAUUACUGAGAGAAAACAAAGAUAUAUUUCUUGCAUUAAGCGCUACCAAGAAAUUCAAUUAUCUGAAACAUAUG
rnacentral:lncRNA from 1 species